rnacentral:rRNA from 1 species
AUUGAACGCUGGCGGCAGGCUUAACACAUGCAAGUCGAGCGAGCGGCGGACGGGUGAGUAAUGUAUGGGAAACUGCCUGAUGGAGGGGGAUAACUACUGAAAACGGUAGCUAAUACCGCAUACCAUCAGAUGUGCCCAGAUGGGAUUAGCUAGUAGGUGGGGUAAUGGGUCACAUAGGCGACGAUCCCUAGCUGGUCUGAGCGGAUGACAAGCCACACUGUAACUGAGACACGGUCCAGACGCCUACGGUAGGCAGCAGGGGGGAAUAUUUCACAAGUGGCGCGAGCAUGAUGCAGCCAUGCCGCGUGUGUGAAGAAGGCCUUCGGGUUGUAAAGCACUUGCAGCGAGGAGGCGUUACUCGCAGAAGAAGCACCGGCUAACUCCGUGCCAGCCGACGCGGUAAUUC